AGCGUAGGCGGGCGCUUAAGUGGGAUGUUUAAAACCGAGGCCCAACCCCGGAGCGGCAUUCCAAACUGGGCGUCUUGAAUAGGGGAGAGGUCGAUGGAAUUGAAGGUGUAGCGGUGGAAUGCGUAGAGAUCUCCAAGAACACCGGUUGCGAAGGCGGUCGACUGGACCCAUAUUGACGCUGAGGCUCGAAAGCAUGGGGAGAAC
rnacentral:rRNA from 1 species